rnacentral:rRNA from 1 species
UAAUAGCUCACUAGUCGAGUCGGCCUGCGCGGAAGAUGUAACGGGGCUGAAAUAUAGCACCGAAGCUGCGGCAUCAGAAUUUAUUCUGUUGGGUAGGGGAGCGUUGUGUAAGCGGAAGAAGGUUCAUCGAGAGGUGGGCUGGACGUAUCACAAGUGCGAAUGCUGACAUAAGUAACGAUAAAACGGGUGAAAAACCCGUUCG